rnacentral:tRNA from 1 species
GGAGAGAUGGCAGAGUGGUCGAUUGCGGCGGUCUUGAAAACCGUUGUACCGAAAGGUACCGGGGGUUCGAAUCCCCCCUACUCCGCAA